CAAUGAAAUCAAUGACAUUGCCACAACUUAACGGAAAAAAAAUGGAGUCCCACAGACUCUCCAGGUUCUUUUCCUCAGAGGAAAUUGAUUUGAGUGUCCUUUAGUCAAUGUCUAAAAGCACUGAGGUUCCUAUAACAGAUGAAGCCGCAGCGGUGCAGGCGACAAAUGAAAGGCCCAGGAAGCAUAAACUUUUUACUUAAAAAGCCAACCGGGCUUAACAACAAACAAUCCAUCUCUCCCAAUGAGAAGCUGAGAAAGAUAAGAGUUCUGCUUCAGCUACACCCGUGCACGGACCUGGGAGUAAAAGUUUUCCAUCUUAAAUGCCAAGGACAGGUGUAAACAGAAGCUCAGCGCUUCCUGGGAGGCGGCUUACAAAGAAGAACUAAUCAGAAGCCUUUCAUCUCUGACCCUUUACCUCCAGGUCUAUUCCGGGGCAUGGAGGUGAUGGGGCUGCUGUCCUUUGCGCCCAAGGAAGCGACAGGCAGCCUGCUGAUCAAUAGCUCCUCUGGAUUAGGGGACAGGAGAUGAGUGAAGGAUUAAGGCAGAAGAACAUUUACUGGUGUCAAGUGCCAGGCACUUCCCUGGGAGUGCUUUCCCUCCGUGGAUAGACUGCGCCACUGAGUUCUUUCAGCCUAAAGUCCAUGGACUGUGCCUCCAGCCUGUGCAUAUUUACCUCCCUUUAAGCUUAAUUCAGCUUAAGCGCCACAGGGCCCAGCGGGACUGUGCCCUUGGCACCAUCCUACCCAACCUUGAUAAAAUGGGUGGCUGUCCCUCCACUUCUCUGUGCUCCGGGAGGGAUUUCCACAGGCCUUAUCUAGGCCCUGGCAUCAGCAGCUCAGACCUGACUCACCCCACAUUUGCCAGUGGAUACUGGAGGCCCACAAUGUGAGGAAGUAAGCCAUACACAAUUGGGGAGGCCUUUUGUAUGGCAACUGAGCUUCACUUUUCCUGGCUCUAAAUAGCACCUAUGCUAUGGCAACGUGACAUGCAGCGUCGCUUCUAUUUUUGGUUCUUCAGUGCUAACUUUCUACUGUUUUAUGUUAAACUGAAUGUCAAGAGAUGUUUUCUUUGCUUAAUAUUAUGGCUUCAUCUACAAAGUGACUAAAACACAUACCCCCUUCAAGAAUUUUGAAAAGCUACCUUCUCACUUUGCACAUUGAUGCAAUGCCAUCUAAAAAUUUCCAUCUUAAAUCUAAACUGUUGCAAAGGAUGUGACUUCCAGUGUAUUCGAAAUGUCUAAAUAUUAACAUUUGUAAAUAAAAUUCUUUCUCUCACGUUCAAACGCAUCCAUUGGAAUAAACACUUCAGUCAUUUGUUACUGACCACUAUCUGUUUAAAAUACUGGAACCAGAUUUUCAGUAAAAAUCAGGAAUUUUACACCAAUGCAUUUCCUCUUCAAGAGCUAUAUUCC
rnacentral:lncRNA from 1 species